rfam:Bombyx mori DNA, contig: Bm_scaf25_contig16732, strain: p50T/Dazao, build 2, whole genome shotgun sequence.
UUAACUCAAAUUUGUAUAGAGUUGGAUCGUUUGCCUACGUUUGCCGCUAGGGGCGCUGUUCCAAUCGCAUACAAAUUUGAGUUA